AUUAAAUUAAUAUUAAUUAAUGCGAGCUGAAGACUGUUACCUCCGUGAAGACCUUUGAAGUUAAGUCAGAGUUAAACUGUCAAAAACAAACUAACGUUUAUAAAGUCGUAGAAGCUAAAUAACCGGAAUUAGAUCGUGUUUCUUUGAUAUUAGUUGUAAGUUAGUGAUUUUGUGAGAUGCUAACAGUAGCUAACGUUAGCUAGCAGCAGCCAUGGAAGAUGGAGACAACAACUAUCCUGGGAAACUAUAUGACGUGGAUUUCAAUCACUACACUUCAAUUAAGCUUACACUUGGAGGCAGCGGUUGAUGAUGGUUAGAGCACUCGUCUUCCAUGCGGAAGAUCCAGGGUUUGAAUCCUGCUGGGGUCGACGGUCGCAAGAGGCUCCCACCGCCGAAUCAAAUGGGAUCAGGUUCCUUAUGGAGGCUUCGGGAUAAGAAAGUAACUCUGGAAUCUGAGAUUCACUCGCAGAGAAAAUGGACCAGAUGCCAAAACUACCACUACAGAUCAGGAGCCAGCCGCGUCCUAUCUGAACAGCCUAGUUUCUCAACGAAAGUGCCGAAAGGAAGCCGGCAGCUCUCACCAGCACUUCAUGGCACAAUGUCCAGUAUCGAGAGAAAAAAUAAGAGCGAGACUGCAUCACCUCUGCAGCUUAUUCAACUUACAUUUUGUUGCUAUUAGAAAACAAAGUACUGAAAAAAGGUACUGUUGGAUCACAGUGGAAAUAAGCCUGUGGCUCUUUCUUGUGUAGUUUAAUCCUCAACAGUUGUAGAUGUAUCUGAUGACUAUCUUAAUGUGAAGCAGUUUUAUGUGUUUUAAGACUGUCAAAUAAAUAAGUCCAUCUACGGGUACCAGUAUCAAAUUCCGAGUCUGGUGCCAGUUCAAAUGUGAACUGUACCCAACCCUGAUGACUUUACACUUAAACUGAACCAUUGGACAGUUUUAACACAGUGACAGUCAGUUCAGUUUGUGACUGUGUGAACUGUAUAUGAAGUUAU